CAAUAGCGUAUAUUAAAGUUGUUGCGGUAAAAAAGCUCGUAGUUGGAUUUCUACCUAAGAUAGCCGGUCGGGUCUUCGACCUUGUAUCUGGUUUUGUCUUUGGUAUCCUCAUAGGGAACGUUUCUGCGCUUUAUUGCGUGGUGCGGUAUCUAUGACUUUUACUUUGAGGAAAUUAGAGUGUUCACGGCAGGCAAACGCCUUGAAUAUAUUAGCAUGGAAUAAUAACAUAGGAUCUUCGUCCUAUUUUGUUGGUUUCUAGGGCUAAGAUAAUGAUUAAUAGGGAUAAUUGGGGGCAUCUGUAUCAACGCGUCAGAGGUGGAAUUCUUGGAUUGCGUUGCGACAAACUACUGCGAAAGCAUUUGCCAAGGAUGUUUUCAUUGA
rnacentral:rRNA from 1 species